CCCACCACUGCACCUGUCCCUUCUAGGUUGGCUGGUGCAAUGCAGUGGGGAGCUGAGACUAAACCCCAGUUUAGGAAAUGGAAUUGAUCUUCAAGCAGAUGACUCUGUGCCAAAAACAUGGAACAGCC